rnacentral:sRNA from 1 species
UGUAUGUAGGAGGUGGAAUGAAGUUUUCCAUAUUCCUGACCUUUGGAGAAAGUUUGAAUUUGAACUGAACCAGUCAGCUACUUCAUCUUUUAAGUCCACUCAUCCUGAUCUCAUUCAGCAGAUCAUUAAAAAGCAUUCUGCUCAUCUUCAGUAUGUCAGCUUUAAGGUUGACAGUAGCGCUGAGUCAGCAGAAGCUGCCUGUGAUAUACUCUCUCAGCUGGUAAAUUGUUCCAUCCAGACCUUGGGCUUGAUUUCAACAGCCAAGCCAAGUUUCAUGAAUGUGUCGGAGUCUCAUUUUGUGUCAGCACUUAACAGUUGUUUUUAUCAACUCAAAAUCAUUAUCAUCAAUCAAAAUUGAAGAUACGCCAGUGGAUGAUCCUUCAUUGAAGAUUCUUGUGGCCAAUAAUAGUGACACUCUAAGACUCCUAAAGAUGAGUAGCUGUCCUCAUGUUUCAUCUGAUGAUGGGUUACAUUUUUUAAAGCUAGAAUGAUAUGAUAUUUUUAUUACAAUAACUAUAAAGAUGCAAUUUCCUUUUGAAAAUUAUAUGCCUAUGAAGCAUAAAUUAUUUAAGUAAGUUUUUUCAAAAGAUUUCUUAAUCUGCAAGGUAGGUAUAGUUAUAGUAAGUUUCUCCUGAGAUAUUUUAAUUUUACAUAUAUACAUAUGCUUUUCAUUAUAUACAUAAUACCUCCUGGCAGCCGUGCUCUCAGAAGUUGUUAUUAGAUAACUAUUUUCACAAAUAAUGAAUAAUUAAUAUUAAAUUUAAAUUUACAAAAUAUUGUAUUAGGAUCAGUAUGAUUCUUUGUUCUUGAGAAUUUUCCCCAACUUCCCACAGGAAUUCUUUGUGUAGCUGAUCAUUGUCAAGGCCUUAGAGAACUGGCGUUGAAUUAUUACAUCCUAACUGAUGAACUUUUCCUUGCACUCUCAAGCGAGACUCAUGUUAACCUUGAACAUCUUCGAAUUGACGUUGUGAGUGAAAAUCCUGGACAGAUUAAAUUUCAUGCUAUUAAGAAACACAGUUGGGAUGCACUUAUUAAACAUUCCCCUAGAGUUAAUGUUGUUAUGCACUUCUUUCUAUAUGAAGAGGAAUUUGAGACGUUCUUCAAAGAAGAAACCCCUGUUACUCACCUUUAUUUUGGUCGUUCAGUCAGCAGAGUGGUUUUAGGACGGGUAGGUCUCAACUGUCCUCGACUGAUUGAGUUAGUGGUGUGUGCUAAUGAUCUUCAGCCUCUUGAUAAUGAACUUAUUUGUAUUGCUGAACACUGUACAAACCUAACAGCCUUGGGCCUCAGCAAAUGUGAAGUUAGCUGCAGUGCCUUCAUCAGGUUUGUAAGACUGUGUGGGAGAAGGUUAACACAGCUCUCUGUAAUGGAGGAAGUUUUGAUCCCUGAUGAGGAUUAUAGCCUAGAUGAAAUUCACACUGAAGUCUCCAAAUACCUGGGAAGAGUAUGGUUCCCUGAUGUGAUGCCUCUCUGGUAAUGGGCUG